GGAGAAGUAUCGAAGUGGUCAUAACGAGCUUGACUCGAAAUCAAGUGUGUGAGUAAUCGCACCGUGGGUUCGAAUCCCACCUUCUCCG
rnacentral:tRNA from 1 species